rnacentral:rRNA from 1 species
GCUUGCGCCCACAGGUAACCCUUGAAUAAAUUACCUUCGUUGCUUUGGCGGGCCGCCUCCCAGGCCAGCGGCUUCGGCUGCUGCGCGCCCGCCAGAGGACCACAACUCUUGUUUUUAGUGAUGUCUGAGUACUAUAUAAUUGUUAAAACUUUCAACAACGGAUCUCUUGGUUCUGGCAUCGAUGAAGAACGCAGCGAAAUGCGAUAAGUAAUGUGAAUUGCAGAAUUCAGUGAAUCAUCGAAUCUUUGAACGCACAUUGCGCCCUUUGGUAUUCCGAAGGGCAUGCCUGUUCGAGCGUCAUUAUAACCACUCAAGCCUUCGCUUGGUAUUGGGGCUCGCGGUCGCGCGGCCCCUAAACUCAGUGGCGGUGCCGGCUGGCUCUACGCGUAGUAAUACUCCUCGCGUCUGGGUCCGGUCGGUUGCCUGCCAGCAACCCCCCAUUUUUACAGGU